GAGCGAACGCUGGCGGCAGGCCUAACACAUGCAAGUCGAGCGCCGUAGCAAUACGGAGCGGCAGACGGGAGAGUAACACGUGGGAACGUACCCUUUGGUUCGGAACAACCCAGGGAAACUUGGGCUAAUACCGGAUAAGCCCUUACGGGGAAAGAUUUAUCGCCGAAGGAUCGGCCCGCGUCUGAUUAGCUAGUUGGUGGGGUAAUGGCCCACCAAGGCGACGAUCAGUAGCUGGUCUGAGAGGAUGAUCAGCCUCACUGGGACUGAGACACGGCCCAGACUCCUACGGGAGGCAGCAGUGGGGAAUAUUGGACAGUGGGCGCAAGCCUGAUCCAGCCAUGCCGCGUGAGGGACGAAGGCCUUCGGGUUGUAAACCUCUUUCAGCAGGGACGAAGCGAAAGUGACGGUACCUGCAGAAGAAGCACCGGCCAACUACGUGCCAGCAGCCGCGGUAAUACGUAGGGUGCAAGCGUUGUCCGGAAUUAUUGGGCGUAAAGAGCUCGUAGGCGGUCUGUCACGUCGGCUGUGAAAACCCGGGGCUCAACCCCGGGCCUGCAGUCGAUACGGGCAGACUAGAGUUCGGCAGGGGAGACUGGAAUUCCUGGUGUAGCGGUGAAAUGCGCAGAUAUCAGGAGGAACACCGGUGGCGAAGGCGGGUCUCUGGGCCGAAACUGACGCUGAGGAGCGAAAGCGUGGGGAGCGAACAGGAUUAGAUACCCUGGUAGUCCACGCCGUAAACGUUGGGCGCUAGGUGUGGGGGUCCUUCCACGGCCUCCGUGCCGCAGCUAACGCAUUAAGCGCCCCGCCUGGGGAGUACGGCCGCAAGGCUAAAACUCAAAGGAAUUGACGGGGGCCCGCACAAGCGGCGGAGCAUGUGGCUUAAUUCGAGGCAACGCGAAGAACCUUACCUAGGCUUGACAUGCAGGGAAAUCCGGCAGAGAUGUCGGGUCCGCAAGGGCCCUGCACAGGUGGUGCAUGGUUGUCGUCAGCUCGUGUCGUGAGAUGUUGGGUUAAGUCCCGCAACGAGCGCAACCCUCGUCCUAUGUUGCCAGCGGUUCGGCCGGGGACUCAUAGGAGACUGCCGGGGUCAACUCGGAGGAAGGUGGGGAUGACGUCAAAUCAUCAUGCCCCUUAUGUCUAGGGCUGCACACAUGCUACAAUGGCCGGUACAAAGGGCUGCGAAGCCGUGAGGUGGAGCGAAUCCCAAAAAGCCGGUCUCAGUUCGGAUCGGGGUCUGCAACUCGACCCCGUGAAGUCGGA
rnacentral:rRNA from 1 species